CGGAGGGUGCAAGCGUUAUCCGGAUUCACUGGGUUUAAAGGGUGCGUAGGUGGGCUGAUAAGUCAGUGGUGAAAUCUCUAGGCUUAACCUGGAAACUGCCAUUGAUACUAUCGGUCUUGAAUCUCGCGUAGGUAAGCGGAAUAUGUCAUGUAGUGGUGAAAUGCUUAGAUAUGACAUAGAACACCAAUUGCGAAGGCAGCUUACUUCACGAGUAUUGACACUGAGGCACGAAAGCGUGGGGAGCAAACAGGAUUAGAUACCCUGGUAGUCCACGCCCUAAACGAUGGAUACUCGACAUCAGCGAUACACUGUUGGUGUCUGAGCGAAAGCAUUAAGUAUCCCACCUGGGAAGUACGACCGCAAGGUUG
rnacentral:rRNA from 1 species